rnacentral:rRNA from 1 species
AGAUGGACGGCAUCACUGGUGUUCGGGUUGUCAUGCCAAUGGCACUGCCCGGUAGCUAAAUGCGGAAGAGAUAAGUGCUGAAAGCAUCUAAGACACGAAACUUGCCCCGACGAUGAGUUCUCCCUGAGACUUAGAGUCUCCUGAAGGAACGUUGAAGACGACGACGUUGAUAGGCCGGGUGUGUAAGCGCAGCGAUGCGUUGAGCUAACCGGUACUAAUGAACCGUGAGGCUUAACCUUACAACGCCGAAG